rnacentral:lncRNA from 1 species
UAGAUAGAUCCAUUUUAUCCAAUGUGACUCCAGGGGAGUUUCUCUCAUUUUAGUAGUCCAAAGAUGAUUAUGCAGAAGAGAGUUCCAACAAGACUCACCAGAUUCUAGGCUAUGUUCUUGUACCUCAGCCUACACCUCUAUCUCUGUCUACCCCUUAGAAAGUUCGAUCAAAUCCAGUUUUCCCCACGGCUGGUCCACAGCCACGACCUGGUUAUUUCCUUCAACUGGCCAUGGUCUUUUCCAGUACCGGUUUGAGGUCUCCUAACACCCAGAGUCACAAAGAAGCCUCGCCCCUUCAGGCACUCACAGU